rnacentral:rRNA from 1 species
GACGGUUACCACUUUGUGAUUCAUGACUGGGGUGAAGUCGUAACAAGGUAACCCUAGGGGAACCUGGGGUUGGAUCACCUCCUUACCUUAA